GCCAGACUCCUACGGGAGGCAGCAGUGGGGGAUAUUGCACAAUGGGGGGAACCCUGAUGCAGCGACGCUGCGUGGGUGAAGGAGCGUUUCGGCGCGUAAAGCCCUAUCGGCAGGGAAGAAGGAGGACGGUACCUGACUAAGAAGCCCCGGCUAACUACGUGCCAGCAGCCGCGGUAAUACGUAGGGGGCGAGCGUUAUCCGGAUUUACUGGGUGUAAAGGGAGCGUAGACGGUUAAUCAAGUCUGAAGUGAAAGCCCGCGGCUCAACUGCGGAACGGCUUUGGAAACUGAGUAACUGGAGUGCUGGAGGGGCAGGCGGAAUUCCUGGUGUAGCGGUGAAAUGCGUAGAUAUCAGGAGGAACACCGGUGGCGAAGGCGGCCUGCUGGACUGCAACUGACGUUGAGGCCCGAAAGCGUGGGGAGCAAACAGGAUUAGAUACCCUCGUAU
rnacentral:rRNA from 1 species